UCCUACGGGGGGCAGCAGUAGGGAAUUUUCGUCAAUGGGCGCAAGCCUGAACGAGCAAUGCCGCGUGAACGAGGAAGGUCUUCGGAUCGUAAAGUUCUGUUGAAGGGGAAAAAGAGCGGAGAGAGGAAAUGGUCUCCGAUUGAUAUUACCCUUCGCGGAAGUCACGGCUAACUACGUGCCAGCAGCCGCGGUAAUACGUAGGUGGCGAGCGUUAUCCGGAAUGAUUGGGCGUAAAGGGUGCGUAGGCGGCCUGCUAAGUCUGGAGUGAAAGGUACCGGCUCAACCGGUACAGGCUCUGGAAACUG
rnacentral:rRNA from 1 species